rnacentral:pre_miRNA from 1 species
AAUAAACGAAUUUCUGUGUUUUUAGAUAGAAUUUUUGACUCUUUGUCUUAUUUGAAAAUUUUUUAUCAUUAAUAUUUUUAUUGCUACUACAUGAUAAAACAUGAAUAGUACUUUAUUUGCGACUAAUUUUUCUUAAUUUUUUAAUAAAUUUUUCAAAUAAGAUAGAUAAUCAAAUACUCAACCUACCACACCCAGA